AUGUAGCCCUGAUCGAAACGGCAUCCUUUUGCUGUGGGGUUCACAGCAAAAGAUAUAGUGUAGAGCAGGACAAAUC
rnacentral:sRNA from 1 species